GCUGGGUGUGGUGGCACACACCUGUAAUUCCAGGGAGUAAGGAGGCUGAGGCAGGAGGAUGGAAAGUUCCAGUCCAGCCUCAA
rnacentral:sRNA from 1 species